AUUGAACGCUGGCGGCAUGCCUUACACAUGCAAGUCGAACGGCAGCGCGGGGCAACCUGGCGGCGAGUGGCGAACGGGUGAGUAAUAUAUCGGAACAUACCCUAGAGUGGGGGAUAACGUAGCGAAAGUUACGCUAAUACCGCAUACGCACUAAGGUGGAAAGUGGGGGAUUCGCAAGAACCUCAUGCUCAUGGAGUGGCCGAUAUCUGAUUAGCUAGUUGGUGAGGUAAAGGCUCACCAAGGCAACGAUCAGUAGCUGGUUUGAGAGAACGACCAGCCACACUGGAACUGAGACACGGUCCAGACUCCUACGGAGGCAGCAGUGGGGAAUAUUGGACAAUGGGCGCAAGCCUGAUCCAGCCAUGCCGCGUGUGUGAAGAAGGCCUUAGGGUUGUAAAGCACUUUCAGUGGGGAGAAAGGGUCAUUCACCUAAUACGUGAGUGAAUUGAUGUUACCCACAGAAGAAGCACCGGCUAACUCCGUGCCAGCA
rnacentral:rRNA from 1 species